rnacentral:rRNA from 1 species
AUGCACGCUGGCGGCGUGCCUAAUCCAUGCAAGUCGAGCGAACAGACGAGGAGCUUGCUCCUCUGACGUUAGCGGCGGACGGGUGAGUAACACGUGGAUAACCUACCUAUAAGACUGGGAUAACUUCGGGAAACCGGAGCUAAUACCGGAUAAUAUAUUGAACCGCAUGGUUCAAUAGUGAAAGACGGUUUUGCUGUCACUUAUAGAUGGAUCCGCGCCGCAUUAGCUAGUUGGUAAGGUAACGGCUUACCAAGGCAACGAUGCGUAGCCGACCUGAGAGGGUGAUCGGCCACACUGGAACUGAGACACGGUCCAGACUCCUACGGGAGGCAGCAGUAGGGAAUCUUCCGCAAUGGGCGAAAGCCUGACGGAGCAACGCCGCGUGAGUGAUGAAGGUCUUCGGAUCGUAAAACUCUGUUAUUAGGGAAGAACAAAUGUGUAAGUAGCUAUGCACGUCUUGACGGUACCUAAUCAGAAAGCCACGGCUAACUACGUG